rnacentral:rRNA from 1 species
CAGUAGCCGCGGUAAUACGUAGGGUGCAAGCGUUAAUCGGAAUUACUGGGCGUAAAGCGUGCGCAGGCGGUUUGUUAAGACAGAUGUGAAAUCCCCGGGCUUAACCUGGGAACUGCAUUUGUGACUGGCAAGCUAGAGUAUGGCAGAGGGGGGUGGAAUUCCGCGUGUAGCAGUGAAAUGCGUAGAUAUGCGGAGGAACACCGAUGGCGAAGGCAGCCCCCUGGGCCAAUACUGACGCUCAUGCACGAAAGCGUGGGGAGCAAACAGGAUUAGAUACCCCCGUAGUCCCUGUCUCUUAUAC